CAUGCAGGCGGUCUGUUAAGCAAGAUGUGAAAGCCCGGGGCUUAACCUCGGAACAGCAUUUUGAACUGGCAGGCUAGAGUCUUGUAGAGGGGGGUAGAAUUUCAGGUGUAGCGGUGAAAUGCGUAGAGAUCUGAGGGAAUACCGGUGGCGAAGGCGGCCCCCUGGACAAAGACUGACGCUCAGAUGCGAAAGCGUGGGGAGCAAACA
rnacentral:rRNA from 1 species